rnacentral:rRNA from 1 species
GAUGAACGCUGGCGGCGUGCCUAAUACAUGCAAGUCGAGCGAAGCGGGGACGGGUGAGUAACACGUGGAUAACCUCCUAUAAGACUGGGAUAACUUCGGGAAACCGGAGCUAAACCGGAUACUUACAGAUGGAUCCGCGCUGCAUUGGCUAGUUGGUACGGUAACGGCUUACAAAGGCAACGAUGCAUAGCCGACCUGAGAGGGUGAUCGGCCAAACUGGAACUGAGACACGGCCCAGACCCCUACGGGAGGCAGAAGGGGGGAAUCUUCCGCAAUGGGCGAAAGCCUGACGGAGCAACGCGGCGUGGUUGAGGAAGGUCUUCGGAUCGUAAAACUCUGUUAUUAGGGAAGCGGUACCGAAACAGAAAGCCACGGCUAACUACGUGCCAGCAGCCGCGGUAAUUC